rnacentral:lncRNA from 1 species
ACAAGAUGGCACUGAGGACAGCUUUGAGUUAUUGGUUUCUUCUUCUUAUUCACAGAUGACACACGUUUUGCAGCUAUAAGUACUCUGCUAACUCUGAAUUGGCGAGUCGAUCUUUUAAGGUUUCCAUGUUCUCUAAGCUCAUGUUUUGUCGCAGCCAGCCUCAUUUUCAGGGAACAGAGAUUAUUCUCUCUCUAAUAUCAUUCUUUA